AUAUAUUCACAUUUUAAUUUCUUUCAUUCGAUUUUGGGUUUCAAAAAUGAUGGUUUUUGAUUGAAUAUUGGAGUUUGCGAGUCCGUUCGAGUUCGCCGUCGGCCGUUGGUUCCCAUCCGUGGUUCGUGGUAGUGUUCCUGUGGCCAUCUCAGUCUUGUGGUCGAGUUCGAGUCACUUAGUUGGCUUGUAUUUGUUUCAGAAAAGAUUAACCAAGCGGAUUGAACAUCAUUCAGGCCUGUUCUUGCUCACUGGAACUUGAAAGUCGACUCAUGUUGGUUGUUUGAUUUAUUCUUCUCAGUUUGAGCAUGAAGUAGUGCUGGAAAUAUUAGUUGAGUUUUCCUGCCCGUUGAUGAGUUAGUUCACUCGCCUAGUACUCUAAAUUCGCUUGCCCUUUUGUUUAAGAUUGGCUUGAUUCGAUACAAUGUUUUUAGAUGCCUCUGUUCGAGUGCCAUAUUUGUUUGAAGCUUAGGAGUUAAGUCCGUGGUUUAGGAAUUAAUGCGAUUGAUCAACUAAACAUUUACUGCCUUUUGUUCUGUUUAUCCCAUGUGCUAACUGAUAAUUCUAUCUGAUUGCUCUUCCCCCUAUUAGAAUAUAUUAGCAUCUUUUCUCGAGGCUUGAUUAGUUUGAUCCUAUUUCCUGUUUGUAAAUUGGCGUUAUAACUGUGAAUGCGAGAAACAAUUGGUGGUUGAAUUCUUGUGUCAAAAGCUCGGAGACGACUGUGAAUAUUAGCUACUCGAUAUGAAUUCCGUAGUAAAUCCUUACAUCGGGAAAGUUUUUAAGUUUCAAUUUAUAUUUGAAGAUAAAUUGAAUGAUUGGUGAAGAAUGCAUCUGUCCAAGUCUGUUUGAUUAACUUUACUAAUCUGAAAAAUGCAUUUGUAUUAACUUUGGUCAAUAGCACAUGUGUUGGUGUUCUGCUUAGACGCUGAUUCCUUUGGAUUCUGUUAAAAUCAUUAGUGAUAAUCAAGUCUCACAUGAACUGAAUCUCUGCUGAUUACUAAGUCACAUGAUGGUCAUGGUUAAUAUAAAUUGGUUGCUCCAUGAAAAGCUGAAAUUGCAAAAUUGGUAGAAGUCAGGUAUUGAACUUGUCUGAGUUUCUCAUGUUCUUUAAUGAUGUGUGCUGGCAGACUCGGGUGUUUUUAAAUGAAGAAAUAUCUUUAAAGAUAAGGGUUAGUCCUGUGGGGGAUGGGUCGUUCCUAUGAGAUUAAGAGUACAGGAGAGGAUUAAAUGACCAUUUAGAAGCUCUCAUCAUGCUUUGAGUCCACCUUUUCUUUCAUUCUGCUUGCUUUCGUUCUCCAUUUUAGUUUUUGAUGCUUUAUCUGCAAAAUGUUUGAUUUUGGUUGGAUGCAAAACUGUUUGAAUGAAUGAUAUUGGGUCGUGGGGUUGGACAUUAA